rnacentral:rRNA from 1 species
GACGGAGGGGGCUAGCGUUGUUCGGAAUCACUGGGCGUAAAGGGUGCGUAGGCGGCGCGGUAAGUCGGGUGUGAAAUCUCGGAGCUUAACUCCGAAACUGCAUUCGAUACUGCCGUGCUUGAGGACUGGAGAGGAGACUGGAAUUUACGGUGUAGCGGUGAAAUGCGUAGAUAUCGUAAGGAAGACCAGUGGCGAAGGCGGGUCUCUGGACUGGUAUUGACGCUGAGGAGCGAAAGCGUGGGUAGCGAACAGG